GAUGAAGAACCAGCGAAAUGCGAUACGUAGUGUGAAUUGCAGAAUUCAGUGAAUCAUCGAAUCUUUGAACGCACAUUGCGCCCUUUGGUAUUCCAAAGGGCAUGCCUGUUCGAGCGUCAUUUGUACCCUCAAGCUUUGCUUGGUGUUGGGCGUCUUGUCUCCAGUCCGCUGGAGACUCGCCUUAAAGUCAUUGGCAGCCGGCCUACUGGUUUCGGAGCGCAGCACAAGUCGCACUCUUUUCCAGCCAAGGUCAGCGUCCAACAAGCCUUUUUUCAACUUUUGACCUCGGAUCAGGUAGGGAUACCCGCUGAACUUAAGCAUAUCAAUAAGCGGAGGA
rnacentral:misc_RNA from 1 species